rnacentral:misc_RNA from 1 species
AUAUGGAUGCAGCUUUCUCAUACUAUAAAUAGGAUAAUUGCUGUUGUCAUCUCAGGAGCAAGCUUUUUGCAGUGCCCACACCAAGGUGCAAAAAAACUCAACAAUCCAGAGAUCUUUGCUCUUAAGAACAUUCUCAUCAAAAUUUCGUGAAUUCAACUCUACUGAUGCACUGGGCUCAGAACUCUCAGAAGAUCCUCCUGUUGCUUUUCCGUGUAUCCGCUCCUUCAGCAGUGCUUUGAUCUGCUGCAAUGCAUAUUCGGCAAUUGGCUUAGCCUCACGUGCCCCUUGAUAAUCAACAGGAGGUUUUCCAGGUGCAAACACCUUGAUGGUAGGAAAUCCUCUGAUUCCAUAUUCCUGCGCCAGGGAUUUGUGAGCAUCAGCGUCAAGAGCUGCAACCGUGGCAACACCUUUCAAUAUGGUAGCUGCCUUUUCCCAUGCGGGUGUCAGAGCUUGACAAUGACCACACCAAGGUGCAAAAAACUCAACUAAAACAAUACCUUUCGAAUUUAGCACCUUAGACUUAAAGUUGGAUUCAGUUAACUGAACAACUGGGGAUGUAGGUCCAUACAGUGCAUUUGCAGUAGCGAUAAAGUGUAGAACAAUCAAGAAAAGUGGAAAAACCGAAGCUCGAUCCAUUGUUUUCUUCUUCUUUCUUCGUCG